rnacentral:rRNA from 1 species
AUUGAACGCUGGCGGCAUGCCUUACACAUGCAAGUCGAACGGUAACAGGUUUUGGGAUGCUGACGAGUGGCGAACGGGUGAAUAAUACACCGGAACGUGACCAGACGUGGGGGGUAACGAGGCCAAAGCUUUGCUAAUACCGCAUACGAGCUAAGGAUGAAAGCAGGGGACCGAAAGGCCUUGCGAGAGUGUUGCGGCCGAUGGGGGAUUAGGUAGGUGAAGGGAUAAAAGCGGAACAGGCCGACGUUCUGUAGCUGGGCUGCGAGGACGACCAGCCACACUGGGACUGAGACACGGCCCAGACUCCUACGGAAGGCAGCCUUGGGGAAUCUUGGAGAAUGGGCGAAAGCCUUAUCCAGCAAUGCCGCGUGCAGGAUGAAGGCCUUCGGUUUGUACACUGCUUUUGUACGGAACGAAAAGGGUUUGGCGAUUACCUGGAGAACAUGACGGUACCGUAAGAAUAAGCACCGGCUAACUACGUG